rnacentral:RNase_P_RNA from 1 species
CAGGUAGGCAAGGCAAUCGCCUCCAAUUAUUUUGGGAGGAGGAAAGUCCGAACACCCAUUCUGGGUAUUUUUACCCAGUCUAAAACGCUCCGGGUAACGCCCGGCCACCGUAAGGUGAGGGGUGCGAACAGAGACGCUCUAAGGGGUAACCCUUAGGGGCCCUGUACCAAAUUUUGAACAGGGUAGCCUCCCUAUAAGCCUUUUGGGCAAAGGGGAGGGUGAAACGGCUAAAUCCCGGCGGGGUGCAACUCUGCCAGAAUUUUUCUGGUGGAGGCUUGAGCCUUCAAGUAAUUGAAGGCCCAGACAGAUGAUUGCCGUCCUCGUAUUUUAUGCGAGGGUACAGAAUUCGGCUUAUUGCCUACCUGCCUU